rnacentral:rRNA from 1 species
UCGGGAAUUUUGGGCAAUGGGCGAAAGCCUGACCCAGCAACGCCGCGUGAAGGAUGAAGUAUUUCGGUAUGUAAACUUCGUAAGAAUAGGAAGAAUAAAUGACGGUACUAUUUGUAAGGUCCGGCUAACUACGUGCCAGCAGCCGCGGUAAUACGUAGGGACCAAGCGUUGUUCGGAUUUACUGGGCGUAAAGUGCGCGUAGGCGGUGUGUCAAGUCAGUUGUGAAAUCUCCGAGCUUAACUCGGAACGGUCAACUGAUACUGUCACACUAGAGUACAGAAGGGGCAAUCGGAAUUCUUGGUGUAGCGGUGAAAUGCGUAGAUAUCAAGAGGAACACCUGAGGCGAAGGCGGGUUGCUGGGCUGAUACUGACGCUGAGGCGCGAAAGCUAGGGUAGCAAACGGGAUUAGAUACCCCCGUAGUCCCUGAGCGGGCUGGCAAGGCGCAU